UACGUAGGGUGCAAGCGUUGUCCGGAAUUAUUGGGCGUAAAGAGCUCGUAGGCGGUUUGUCGCGUCGGCUGUGAAAACCCGGAGCUCAACUCCGGGCCUGCAGUCGAUACGGGCGGACUUGAGUGUUGCAGGGGAGACUGGAAUUCCUGGUGUAGCGGUGAAAUGCGCAGAUAUCAGGAGGAACACCGGUGGCGAAGGCGGGUCUCUGGGCCGAUACUGACGCUGAGGAGCGAAAGCGUGGGGAGCGAACAGG
rnacentral:rRNA from 1 species